UGAGCUGGAAUGUCAAGCGAAUGCCACUUGAUUGUUUUCAGGUGGAUUCACUUGACAUUCCAGCUCAGGUUUUUCCGUGCGGGUGUUUGACUGGAAAAGCAGACUAAGAACACUUCACCUGCACGUCAAUGGCAAACAGUUCAUCUUCCUUCUUUUGCUGUAACUACUCCGAAGAGGUUGAAGGGAAGAGUUUGAGAUCUUCCUUGACAACAAGGCAAAAAUGUGUGCUAUACAAUGGAGAAGAGGUGGAAAACUUUUUUUUUUCAAGUUAAUCCACUCAGGAUUCCAGAUGAAGAUUUUUUUUCUCCGUGAGAGUGUUUGACUGGAAAGGCAGACUGUGGAGAUGUGUUUGAGACGACACACAGGCUGCAUCCGAAAUUCGUGUGUGUAACCUCUUCUCCAUCUGCCACACACAUCUCUACCUAGCACAGGCUGCUCUUCAUCUGCGUCUGAUGAUGACAAC